rnacentral:rRNA from 1 species
UACGUAGGGGGCAAGCGUUGUCCGGAAUCAUUGGGCGUAAAGAGCGUGUAGGCGGUCCGGUCAGUCGGUUGUGAAAGUCAAGGGCUCAGCCCUUGAAUGCCGGCCGAUACUGCCGGGCUAGAGUCCGGAAGAGGUGAGUGGGAAUUCCUGGUGUAGCGGUGAAAUGCGCAGAUAUCAGGAGGAACACCGAUGGCGAAGGCAGCUCACUGGGACGGUACUGACGCUGAGACGCGAAAGCGUGGGGAGCAAACAGG